UACAGAGGUCUCAAGCGUUGUUCGGAUUCAUUGGGCGUAAAGGGUAGGUAGGUGGUCUCAUUUGUCUGGGGUGAAAGCCUUGAGCUUAACUCAAGAAGUGCCCUAGAAACGGUGAGACUAGAGUCCUGGAGAGGGUCGUGGAAUUCCCGGUGUAGCGGUGAAAUGCGUAGAGAUCGGGAGGAACACCAGCGGCGAAGGCGGCGACCUGGACAGGUACUGACACUCAACUACGAAAGCGUGGGGAGCAAACAGG
rnacentral:rRNA from 1 species